rnacentral:tRNA from 2 species
GAGAUAUUAGUAAAACCAUUACCCAAUCUUGUCAAGAUUGAAUUAUGGGUUAAACACCCAUAUAUCUCC